AAAAAGACAAAUGGAAGAAGAAAUGUAAACCAGCCAGCACCUCCGCCCGUUCAGAAAGACCCCCUGAACAAGCAUGUUUCUCAUGUAGAGUUUAGAGCUGCAUUCACUACUCUAGCUCACUCUGUAGUAGCUUAGGAUGUUCGCCCAACUGUUGUUCUGGCCAACCCAGUGGCCAAUACUACCACAGGUAGGAUUCGAG
rnacentral:lncRNA from 1 species